rnacentral:rRNA from 1 species
UGUGCCAGCCGCCGCGGUAAUACGAAGGGUGCAAGCGUUACUCGGAAUUACUGGGCGUAAAGCGUGCGUAGGUGGUUCGUUAAGUCUGAUGUGAAAGCCCUGGGCUCAACCUGGGAACUGCAUUGGAUACUGGCGAUCUGGAGUGCGGUAGAGGGUAGCGGAAUUCCCGGUGUAGCAGUGAAAUGCGUAGAUAUCGGGAGGAACAUCCGUGGCGAAGGCGGCUACCUGGACCAGCACUGACACUGAGGCACGAAAGCGUGGGGAGCAAACAGGAUUAGAU